rnacentral:rRNA from 1 species
GACGAACCACACAAACGUUAUUCGGAAUUACUGGGCUUAAAGGGUGCGUAGGCGGCGCUAAAAGUUGGGUGUGAAAUCCCUCGGCUUAACCGAGGAACUGCGCCCAAUACUGUAGUGCUUGAGGAAGAUAGAGGUGAGCGGAACUUAGGGUGGAGCGGUGAAAUGCGUUGAUAUCCUAAGGAACACCCGUGGCGAAAGCGGCUCACUGGAUCUUAUCUGACGCUGAGGCACGAAAGCUAGGGUAGCGAACGGG